UUCUGCUACUGAUACCUGAUUAAGCAAACGCGUUAUUUUCAGAUUCCGAUACGCAUUUUACAGACCAAUUGACCAAUCUUAUUUAACGUGCUUAGUACUGAAUGUUGACAAAACUUUCGGAUUAUUUUUAAUUUUGUAUGCUACUAGCGUUUUCAAGUCACAUAUUAUUGGAAUUACAUUUUGACUUAGUCUAUUGUUUAGUAUGAGGAUGUGAUGUACGGUCAAUUUAAUUAACUGAAAAUGAUCAUUUAUUGAUCGCCGAAGGAAUCAUAAAUUUUGAUGAAUUUCUAUUGUACACGAUUACAAUUUCUUCUUUAAUCCACGAGCAUAUUUUAGAAAAGGUACAUGUCAAUGUUUGGAAUGGACAGGGACGAGUUAAAACGACAAGUCGAAACUCUCAGAUUUCAUAAAGAAAUCAAACGGAUGAGCAUGUCUGAUGCCAUUAAAGAGUUGGUAUGUUAUAUUGAAGACAAAACGCCAGAUGAUGGACUUAUUGUUGCUCCAGAUAAGAAGAAAAAUCCCUGGAACGAAACUAGAAAGUGUUUAAUUUUGUAAAACAAGACAUACAUAUAUAUAUAUAGAUGAUUUAUUCAUAUGCAGCACCAACAUAAACUGUAUUUUGUAAACAGAUGUAUAUAAAAUAUCUUUCAUUUUGAAAUACGAUACAGCCAAUUUUUUAGUUUAAGAUUUUUAUUAUCUCUUUAGCUUUUCCAUUUAUCAAAACAAUUAGUGCACUUAUUUCAGAAUAGGACAAAACUAGUCAUUAGUGAACAUUAAAUAAAUAGAUCUUUUUUUUUAGUCUUCUUUUAAAAGAUUUCAUUAGAUUUGUAAGUUUCAGACGGUAUCUUGUCAGCAUGAAAUAAUUUUAAUGUUUUUUUUGUAGUAAAACUGCUCAAAACAGAACUCUAUUCUUAGCAAAUUAAUUUACGAUGCAAAUGGUUUCAAAUGUAAUUAUACAUGUUAUUGUGACUAAUUGGGAAGUUGUAGUGAAUUUUACUAUUAUUUGUAUUAAAAUGUAGAAAUUACGA